rnacentral:rRNA from 1 species
GACGAACGCUGGCGGCGUGCUUAACACAUGCAAGUCGAACGGAAAGGCCCUGCUUUUGUGGGGUGCUCGAGUGGCGAACGGGUGAGUAACACGUGAGUAACCUGCCCUUGACUUUGGGAUAACUUCAGGAAACUGGGGCUAAUCCCGGUUAGGAGCUCCUGCUGCAUGGGGGGGGUUGGAAGGUUUCGGCGGUUGGGGAGGGACUCGCGGCUUUUCAGCUUGUUGGUGGGGUAGUGGCUUACCAAGGCUUUGACGGGUAGCCGGCCUGAGAGGGUGACCGGCCACAUUGGGACUGAGAUACGGCCCAGACUCCUACGGGAGGCAGCAGUGGGGAAUAUUGCACAAUGGGCGGAAGCCUGAUGCAGCAACGCCGCGUGCGGGAUGACGGCCUUCGGGUUGUAAACCGCUUUCGCCUGUGACGAAGCGUGAGUGACGGUAAUGGGUAAAGAAGCACCGGCUAACUACGUG